UUACAUUUAAUGUCUGUGGGACAGCCCUGGGACAGGUGAGAGCCAUGGAGAGUGGCCCAAUUUUACCAAAAUGACAUUUAAUGUCCGUGGGACAUUGCUGUUACUGGUCACAGCCACAGAGAGUGGCCCAAUGGCACCAAAAUUAAAUUUUAUGCAUGUGGAACCAUACUGGGACAGGUGAGAGCUACAGAGAGCCGCCCAAUUGUACCAAAGUGACAUUUAAUGUGUGUGGCACAGGUGACAGCCAUGGAGAGUGGCCCAGUGGUACCAAAAUCACAUUUAAUGUGUGUGGGACAGCCCUGGGGCAGGUGAGAGCCAUGGAGAGCAGCCCAAUGGUACCAAAAUCACAUUUAAUGCAUGUGGGACUGUGCUGGUACCGAUCACAGCCACAGAGAGUGGCCCAAUGGCACCAAAAUGACAUUUAAUAUGUGUGACAGCCAUGGAGAGCAGCUCAAUUUACCAAAAUCACAUUUAAUGUGUGUGGGACAGCCCUGGCACAGGUGACAGCCAUGAGGAGCAGUUUGGUGCAUGGCUGUGCCCAUGACUUGUGGUUCCACCUCCCCCGAGGCACAUCUGUCCCCAAAAGGUCACUCUAAAACCUCACCCCGGUGACAAAACCAGCCAGGGGACAGUGCCACCUCCCUGGCUCUGUCCUGGCAGUGAGACACAGCCCCGAGGUGCUGCGAGCUCCGUCCUGCGUCACCUCUGUGUCACCCCGGUGUCGCCCCCGCAGAGAGGAGCCGGCCUGGGAUUGAAUCACCCCUGGUUUGGGACCCCCUGCUCUGCCCCAGAGCGCCGGGGGCGGUGGGGAAAUCCAGGUCUGGCUGAGUAAUCCCGCAGUUAUCUCGCCCUGCCAUCGAUCCAGGGUGUCCUCACGCAGGCCAGGGCCUUUGUUCCGGCUCUUCUGGGAAAUAAUUGCAUUCUUUUAAUAUCUCCAAAGGCAGAUUUACCGCGGGGAGACCACACGGGGAGAAGGUGUUGCUGAGGGAGCCGGGAUGGCCCCGAGCAGCCGCAGCAGCCGUUUUCCCCCCGGCUCCGGGCCUGGAGAACGUUCUGGUUCCUCCCUCCCGGGCUGCGUGUCCAGGAGGGCAAAGGGAGGCUCUGUGGGGAGCGUGGACAGGCUGCACUCGCCCGGGCCUCUCCUCUCCCUGACUUUGCCCUAAAUGCCAAUUUUCCCCUGGGAUUGGGAGCAG